rnacentral:rRNA from 1 species
GACGUAGGGUGCGAGCGUUGUCCGGAUUUAUUGGGCGUAAAGAGCUCGUAGGCGGCUCGUCGCGUCGACCGUGAAAACUUGGGGCUUAACCCUAAGCUUGCGGUUGAUACGGGCGGGCUAGAGUUCGGUAGGGGAGACUGGAAUUCCUGGUGUAGCGGUGAAAUGCGCAGAUAUCAGGAGGAACACCAAUGGCGAAGGCAGCUCGCUGGGACGUGACUGACGCUGAGACGCGAAAGCGUGGGGAGCAAACAGG